AGUGAACGCCGGCGGCAGGCCUAACACAUGCAAGUCGAGCGGAUGAACAGAACUUGCUCCUUGAUUCAGCUGCCGACUGGUGAGUAAUUCCGAGGAAUCUGCCUAUUAGUUUUUUCUAACGUCCGGACACGGGCACUCAUACCCCAUUCGUCCUUAGGAAGUACGGGUGGGAUCUUCGGACCUCACGCUAUCGCAUGAGCCGAUGUCGGAUUAGCUAGUUGGUGGGUUAAAGGCCCACCAAGGCGACGAUCCGUAACUGGUCUGAGAGGAUGAUCAGUCACACUGGAACUGAGACACGGUCCAGACUCCUACGGGAGGCAGCAGUGGGGAAUAUUGGACAAUGGGCGCAAGCCUGAUCCAGCCAUGCCGCGUGGGUGAAGAAGGUCUUCGGAUUGUAAAGCCCUUUUAGUGGGGAGGAAGGGCAGUAAGUUAAUACCUCGCUGUUUUGACGGUACCCAAAGAAUAAGCACCGGCUAACUUCGUG
rnacentral:rRNA from 1 species